GGUCUCCUCCGGACUAUGUCCACACCAACGGGCUGCUGGGGCUGGACCUGCACUCCACACCGCAGUACAAACCAGGCCAACCAGGGCCAGAUCUGGGGAGUGUGUAUGAGGUGGUGGAUGUGCAGGGUGAAGGUUUGAAAGAAGAGAUGGAUGCAGGGGCGAUGGCGUGGGCGACUGCGCCGGGGGAAGGAAUGGCGCGAGCUAAUGCGGUGGUCACGGCCUUCAGGUUCAUCAUGAAGCAAAGCUACAUCUGUGCUCUCAUUGCAAUGAUGGCGUGGAGUAUCACUUAUGUCAGCUGGCUGACCUUUGUGUUUCUCAUCUGGUCCUGCACGCUGUGGAUGGUGCGCGACCGCCGCCGGU